rnacentral:rRNA from 1 species
UCCAGACUCCUACGGGAGGCAGCAGUGGGGAAUAUUGGGCAAUGGGCGCAAGCCUGACCCAGCAACGCCGCGUGAAGGAAGAAGGCUUUCGGGUUGUAAACUUCUUUUAAGAGGGACGAAACAAAUGACGGUACCUCUUGAAUAAGCCACGGCUAACUACGUGCCAGCAGCCGCGGUAAUACGUAGGUGGCAAGCGUUAUCCGGAUUUAUUGGGUGUAAAGGGCGUGUAGGCGGGAAAGCAAGUCAGAUGUGAAAACUAUGGGCUCAACCCAUAGCCUGCAUUUGAAACUGUUUUUCUUGAGUGCUGGAGAGGCAAGCGGAAUUCCAUGUGUAGCGGUAAAAUGCGUAGAUAUAUGGAGGAACACCAGUGGCGAAGGCGGCUGUCUGGCCUGUAACUGACGCUGAGGCACGAAAGCGUGGGGAGCAAACAGGAUUAGAUACCCGCGUAUC